GUGAGAAUGGCCAGGUAAGUUGAAAUAACAUACUUUGACUUCAGGUACAUGAAUAGCAUAGUUGAAGUUGUAUAUCUUAGAUUGAUCCCCCUCUCA